rnacentral:rRNA from 1 species
GGGUGAGUAACACGUGAGUGACCUGCCCCGAGGAGGGGGACAACCAUGGGAAACCAUGGCUAAUACCCCGUAGACCUGGCCGUCUUGGAAGCGGUCAGGUAUAGCUCAGGCGCCUUGGGAGUCGCUCGCGGUCGAUUAGUUUGUUGGUGGGGUAACGGCCUACCAAGAUGACGAUCGAUAGCUGGUCUGAGAGGAUGAUCAGCCACACUGGGUCUGAGACACGGCCCAGACUCCUAUGGGGGGCAGCAGCGAGGAAUAUUGGACAAUGGGCGCAAGCCUGAUCCAGCAACGCCGCGUGGAGGAAGAAGGCUUCGGUUGUAAACUCCUUUUGUACGGGAUGAGACAAGGACAGUACCGUGCGAAUAAGUCACGGCUAACUAGGUGCCAGCAGCCGCGGUAAUACCUAGGUGACGAGCGUUAUCCGGAUUUACUGGGCGUAAAGGGCUUGAAGGCGGUAAUUCAAGUCUGGCGUGAAAUCUCCUGGCUUAACCAGGAGGGGUCGUCAGAUACUGUUUUACUGGAGGCAGUGAGAGGGGUGUGGAAUUCUCGGUGGAGUGGUGGAAUACGUAGAUAUCGGGAGGAACACCAGUGGCGAAGGCGGCACCCUGGCACUGACCUGACGCUCAUAGGCGAAAGCGUGGGGAGCGAACGGGAUUAGAUCCCCCGGUAGUCCACGCUGUAAACGAUGAGUACUAGGCGUAGGUAGCUACAGUUAUCUGUGCCGCAGCUAACGCGAUAAGUACUCCGCCUGGGGACUACGGCCGCAAGGCUAAAACUCAAAGGAAUUGACGGGGACCCGCACAAGCAGCGGAGCGUGUUGUUUAAUUCGAUGUAACGCGAAGAACCUUACCUGGGUUUGACAUGUGCGUAGUAGUGAAGCGAAAGCGGAACGACCCUUCGGGGAGCGUACACAGGUGUUGCAUGGCUGUCGUCAGCUCGUGUCGUGAGAUGUUGGGUUAAGUCCCGCNACGAGCGCAACCCUCGUCGUUAGUUACAAGUGUCUAGCGAGACUGCCGAUAAUACAUCGGAGGAAGGUGAGGACGAUGUCAAGUCAGCAUGACCCUUAUAUCCAGGGCUACUAACACGCUACAAUGGGCGGUACAAUGGGCAGCCAAAGAGCAAUCUGGAGCAAAUCC